rnacentral:rRNA from 1 species
AACGAACGCUGGCGGCAGGCUUAACACAUGCAAGUCGAGCGCCCCGCAAGUGGGACGGCAGACGGAUGAGUGACGCGUGGGGACGUACCCUUAUCUUCGUGGUAGCUCCGGGUAACGGGAAGUAAUACCGAAUGUGCCCUUUGGGGGAAAGAUUUAUCGGAUAAGGAUCGGCCCGAGUUGUAUUCGCUAGUUGGUGGGGUGAAUGCCUACCAAUGCGACGAGCCAGAGAGGGGCGGAGAGGAUGAUCAGACACAUUGGGACUGAGACACGGCCCAAACUACUACGGGAGGCAGCAGUGGGGAAUAUUGGACAAUCGGCGCAAGCAUGAUCCAGCCAGGCCGCGUGAGUGAUGAAGGUCUUAGGGUUGUACAGCUCUUUAACAGGAGAAGAUAAUGACGGUAUCCGGAGAAGAAGCCCCGGCUAACUUCGUG